rnacentral:rRNA from 1 species
AACGAACGCUGGCGGUAGGCCUAACACAUGCAAGUCGAGCGCCCCGCAAGGGGAGCGGCGGACGGGUGAGUAACGCGUGGGAACGUACCCUUUGCUUCGGAAUAGCCUCGGGAAACUGGGAGUAAUACCGAAUGUGCCCUACGGGGGAAAGAUUUAUCGGCAAAAGAUCGGCCCGCGUUGGAUUAGGUAGUUGGUGGGGUAAUGGCCUACCAAGCCGACGAUCCAUAGCUGGUUUGAGAGGAUGAUCAGCCACACUGGGACUGAGACACGGCCCAGACUCCUACGGGAAGCAGCAGUGGGGAAUCUUAGACAAUGGGCGCAAGCCUGAUCUAGCCAUGCCGCGUGAGCGAUGAGGCCUUAGGGUUGUAAAGCUCUUUCGUGGGGGAAGAUAAUGACUGUACCCCAAGAAGAAGCCCCGGCUAACUCCGUGCCAGCCGCCGCAGUAAUAC